rnacentral:rRNA from 1 species
ACAUCGGAACGUGUCCUCUGGUGGGGAAUAACCUGGCGAAAGCCAGGCUAAUACCGCAUGAGCUCGGGAGAGGAAAGCGGGGGAUCGCAAGACCUCGCGCGAGAGGAGCGGCCGAUGUCCGAUUAGCUAGUUGGCGGGGUAAAGGCCCACCAAGGCGACGAUCGGUAGCUGGUCUGAGAGGAUGAUCAGCCACACUGGGACUGAGACACGGCCCAGACUCCUACGGGAGGCAGCAGUGGGGAAUUUUGGACAAUGGGGGCAACCCUGAUCCAGCCAUGCCGCGUGAGUGAAGAAGGCCUC